CCGUGUGUCAAGAAGGGUCCUGGACCCGGUUCCUGAAACACGGACCAAGGAGUCUAGAAUGUGCGCGAGUCAAAGGGCUGGCUAAACCCUAAGGCGUAACGAAAGUGAAUGGGAAGGCCGGAGAGGAAUGAUCGAGGGAGGGGAAGGAUUUUAUUCUUCUCCCUUCCUGGUUCGUCCUCCUCCUCCUCCCUUGGGCCGAUCCGGUUUCGACUCUCGUAGUCGAAUUCGCCUCAUAUUAACACAUAGGAGGACGGCGCAGGCCCGGGGCUCGCCAGCUUCCUCCCCGCCACCAACGCUAACGCAGGCGCUCUCCGGUCGUUGGUCGGACUGCCUCUCCGUCCUUUCGUCGUCCGUCGCCGUUUUCGUCGUCGUCCCUCACAAGGGGGCGUUGGCGGUUUCGGCGGUAGGGCGGCGUUGGUCGGGUCCAAGGGGUGGUUCCGCGCGAUCUCGGACGUAGGCUCGCGGGCGGGGACGAGCGGCGGGUACCUAGAGCGUACAUCCUAGUACCCGAAAGAUGGUGAUCUAUGCCUGGCCAGGAUGAAGCCAGAGGAAACUCUGGUGGAGGUCCGUAGCGAUUCUGACGUGCAAAUCGAUCGUCGGA
rnacentral:rRNA from 1 species